ACUGUAACUAUGUAACCCAUGUACAGAA
rnacentral:piRNA from 1 species